rnacentral:pre_miRNA from 1 species
CUAUUACUCCCCUGUCUCAAAAUUCUUAUCUUUAAUUUGUCCAGAUAUGAAUGUAUCUAGUCAUGUAUUAGUUUUUAGAUACAUCCAUUUCUAGAUAAAACUAAGACAAUUUUUUUAGGAUGGAGGGAGUAUAUU